rnacentral:lncRNA from 1 species
UNNNNNNNNNNNNNNNNNNNNUCGAACCACAUGCUCGAAUUUCACAAAUGAAGAUUGGCACGGUGGGGAUUUUUUCCUGCGAAAUCGCUCAUUCAUUACCAGUCCUCUUAUUAAUUAUUUAGUGCGCGGAGAAGAGGCAUGGAAUUUGAUAUCAACACGCUCCAAACCCAUCGGUUUUUCGUAUUUUGCCGUUUAUUUCCGUAAGACUGUCGUUUUCUCUGACUACAAGCGAAGAGAUUGAGUCUUUCUUGUACGAUUGUCGUUUGAGACCAGAAACGACAAAAGCUUUGGGAUGAAUAUCAGCUUCGUUUAUUGUUCAUGGUAAGUCACAACAUUACGAAAAAUGUGUAGCGUACCUUAAAAUAAAAUGAUGUUUUCUCGUUCAUCGCUUAAGUAGCUGAAAAUUUAAAACGAGGGCUUUGUUUGCCAGUAUUUCAAGAUCAUAUUCAUACAUAAUUCAUAAGAUUUGGUCUUAUUUUCAGGAAUUUACACGAGGGACUUUCUCUAGAAUUUUAAACUUAUGGCCGUGCACUUCGAUAUUGGCGCGUGGUCUAAAGAGCAGAAACGACUAAAGCAAAAGUCGCUCGAACUAAACGAUACCAUAGCUGGAUUAAAUGAAGAUAUCGCAUCGAAGGAACAGGCCAUCAAAGACCUAAAACGAAAG